ACGGUGAGUAACACGUAUCCAACCUGCCGUCUACUCUUGGACAGCCUUCUGAAAGGAAGAUUAAUACAAGAUGGCAUCAUGAGUCCGCAUGUUCACAUGAUUAAAGGUAUUCCGGUAGACGAUGGGGAUGCGUUCCAUUAGAUAGUAGGCGGGGUAACGGCCCACCUAGCCUUCGAUGGAUAGGGGUUCUGAGAGGAAGGUCCCCCACAUUGGAACUGAGACACGGUCCAA
rnacentral:rRNA from 1 species